rnacentral:lncRNA from 1 species
UUUAAUUACAAAAGUAAAUAUAUAAUAUAAUAUUUGUUGCUGCCUUGUUCUAUAUAAAUGCUUCUAACAUGCAGGUAACAUUUAUAUAUGUAUUAGUUUGAAUAAAUCAUUUUAAUAAAGUUACAUUAUAGGCAGGAAUGUUUGACUGGAAAUAUAAACGAUGUUGUACAUAAUGCAGAUAGCUUAGGCAAAAAAGAGAUUGGUGAAAUGGAGAAUGAGACUAACUAGGGUGAAAAAAAAUGAAUAUUAAUAUGUGAAUGGUACUUUGUUUAACAUCUACCUGUUUCUACAGAUACAGUACAGACGCAUUUAUAAAUGGGCUUGAUGUUUUUUUGAAUUAAAUAUGUUGUAUUGA